GCGCGGCGGCCGGCCGCAGGCGGGGGCGCAUCUAGGUGGGAGUACGAUGGGUAGGGGGCCGGGGUCGGAGAUGCAGCCAAGAUAUUUGCCGGAGAGAAACCUUAAAGGCUGGAAAUGUAAGCAUCCGGGGCACUGAUGCGCUCUCUCCGGAUCUCCUCACUCAUUGGCUGCGGGUAUCUCGCACAGCGAACGGACCGCCCCGCCCUCUCGGCCCCGUAGCCAGUCAUCCUGCUUCCUUUCGAGACUGAAAUUACCCCUAAAAGACUGGUCGAUAUGUUUGCUCCUUAGCUGCCUGAGAGUGAUUGUAGAGUCGUUCAGUAUUUCCGAAUCCUCUUCCUGGAACGUGGUUGCUUAAUAAAUGAUGAGGCGGAUGGUGGACGAAUCUCCCUCUGUGCCUCCACUGGCCUGAUCUCAGAAGCAUUGAAGAAGUGUAGGCAUCGGGAGCAGUUUCGGUAACGAAUUGUGGUCAUAUCACAUUGAAAAUACAAAGCACUUGAAAAUUAGAAUAUCAAGGAGAAAUGUUGCACAAUUACAGCGCUAAAGUGGUCACUAUUGCUCUAAGACUCUGGGGUAAUUGUUAUUGUUUCGUGUUAGCUUCCAUUUAAUCAUUUUGUGAUGCUGAAUUCUCCAAUCCUGGAUCAUCUGAUUUCUCUGGUGCCAGUAUGUAUUAUAAAAUGUCCAAGAGAAUCCAGUCAGCCCUUCUGAUGCUUACCAAACCUGAAAGUGGUAGGAAUAAACAUGUAAUGGUGCAGCCCUGACCAAGUGUUGGAUGGGGACUAGUGGUUUCCCACUCCUCUUUGAGGUGACUUCCUAAAAUAGACUGUCUGUUAAUAAGCUUUUGUCUCCAGCUCUGCUUUUGGAGAGGACCCAUACUGAAACAAAUUGAAAUAUGUUGAAAUGUGUGCAUUCUCACUGAAUACCUUUUUUAAAAAAAAUUAAACCUUCAAAAAAUGAAAUUCAUCAUAUCUCAGAAUUUUAUGGACUACAUGCUCUAUUAAUAGAAAAAGAAAAGAUAAUUUUACAGGCUGUAAGUUUGAAGAUGUUGUCAAUUAGGAAGAAUGAUUUCCUUGUGCAAUAAUUGCUGGCAUUUCCAUUAAAUUACAGUUUUACAUUACAUCAUCUAAAAUGCAAGCCUUUCUAAACAAUUUCAAUUUUCAUUAAACUUUGACAACUUAGAU